rnacentral:rRNA from 1 species
GUAGGUGGCAAGCGUUGUCCGGAAUUAUUGGGCGUAAAGCGCGCGCAGGUGGUUCUUUAAGUCUGAUGUGAAAGCCCCCGGCUCAACCGGGGAGGGUCAUUGGAAACUGGGGAACUUGAGUGCAGGAGAGGAAAGUGGAAUUCCACGUGUAGCGGUGAAAUGCGUAGAUAUGUGGAGGGACACCAGUGGCGAAGGCGACUUUCUGGCCUGUAACUGACACUGAGGCGCGAAAGCGUGGGGAGCAAACAGGGAUUAGAUACCCUGGUAGUCCACGCCGUAAACGAUGAGUGCUAAGUGUUGGGGGGGUUUCCCGCCCCUCAGUGCUGCAGCUAACGCAUUAAGCACUCCGCCUGGGGAUACGGUCGCAAGACUA